GGUAGCUUGCUACUUGCUGACGACCGGCGCACGGGUGCGUAACGCGUAUACAAUCUGCCUUAUACAGAGGGAUAGCCUUUAGAAAUGAAGAUUAAUACCUCAUGGUCUAUUAAUAUAGCAUUAUAUAAAUAGUAAAGCUUCGGCGGUAUAAGAUGAGUAUGCGUCCUAUUAGUUAGUUGGUAAGGUAACGGCUUACCAAGACAACGAUAGGUAGGGGCCCUGAGAGGGGGAUCCCCCACACUGGUACUGAGACACGGACCAGACUCCUACGGGAGGCAGCAGUGAGGAACAUUGGACAAUGGAGGUAACUCUGAUCCAGCCAUUCCGCGUGCAGGAAGACGGCCCUAUGGGUUGUAAACUGCUUUUAUAUAGGAAGAAACCUUUUCACGUGUGAGAAGCUGACGGUACUAUAAGAAUAAGGACCGGCUAACUCCGUGCCAGCAGCCGCGGUAAUACGGAGGGUCCGAGCGUUAUCCGGAAUCAUUGGGUUUAAAGGGUCCGUAGGCGGGAAUCUAAGUCAGUGGUGAAAUCUUACAGCUCAACUGU
rnacentral:rRNA from 1 species